GUGUACAGGUGCUUCCAAAAGCACUUGUAAAAGUACUUUCAGUUUUCAAGCCUCCCAAGCCUUUGAGCCUGUGCCGCGGCAAACAGCUUUAAAAGUUCAAAGUCCAGCCAUAAAGCCAUUAAUUAGGAGCUGGCAGGCUGCCCGGCGCAUGAGCACAUACCUCUCAUCAAUCAUCUUGACGCGCAGAGCAGAUAACGUCCAAUCCGUCUCUCUGUUCCUCUGCCGGCAUUCCGAUUCCGUUUAGCUGGGCCCAUAACCCAAAAAUGUGAGAUUUUGACCAGCUUCGGCCCAUCUGAAGCUGAUACAGGCUCGUCUUAUCUUGAGCCCAAGCAGAGUAGUCCACACAGCAGAAGGAUAAGCAGUAUGUGCCACAUUCUUAACUUUAUUUCCACUCUAUGCUGAGAGAAUACAAACAUGCAUCUUGCCUCUGUGAGAGCAGAGAAGCAACUGUCUCUCUAACAAAGAAACCGAGAGAACAGUGAAAAGCAGGAAACCAGUGAACGUCACAUCCAGUCUCCCAUUCCCGUGGGAAUCCAACAGUAACUCUGACUGUGGAAUGCAAAACAAUAUCUUGUGACUGCAGUUGCUGCUCAGUGAGGGAAAUAGAAACCAACACUAACCACCUCCCAUUCCUGCACAGCAUUUGUCAAAAAAUGGAGGACUGUAGGAUCAGGGUCAGCUCUGUAGUCUUCCAACUAGAAUGCAGGAAUCCCAGCACGCAGUCUCCCAUCCAAUAGGAAACCAUGCCGGACCCUGCUUAGCUUUGCAAAUGUGCUAGCAGUUUUAUUGCUGCACCACUGUUUAAAGAAUGAUUUAAAUGUAUGGUGAGCACACAACCUAGUUAUACUAUUUUGCGGGUGGCAUUGUGGUCUAAACCACUGAGCUUCUUGGACUUGCUGAUUGGAAGGUCGGCGGUUCGAAUACGUGUGACGGAGAGAGCUCCCAUUGCUCUGUCCCAGCUCCUGCCAACCUAGCAGUUCAAAAGCACACCGGUGCAAGUAGAUAAAUAGGUACCUCUGUGGCAGGAAGGUAAACGGCGUUUCCAUGAACUCUGGUUUCCGUCACGGUGUCCUGUUGUGCCAGAAGUGGUUUAGCCAUGCCGGCCACAUGACCCGGAAAGCUGUCUGUGGACAAAUGCCAGCUCCCUCGGCCUGAAAGCGAGAUAAGCACCGCAACCCCAUAGUCACCUUUGACUGGACUUAACCAUCCAGGGGUCCUUUAUGUUUUACCUUUACCUUACUAUUUUGCAGUGGGGGGGGUGUGGCAUGAGGAUUAGCAAAAGGCUCCCUGGAAAGAGGAUGGCUGAGCCCAAAAAGAUUGUGAUACAACUCCUGCGAAGGCAAAAUUUCCUCAGCCUUCCCGAGACCCCACGUUUCACGUCAUGUUAACUGCCUAUGGGCACUUCCUGCCAGUCCUCUGCCUGCUCUGCUCCCCCAGCCGGCAGAAGUGUAGAGGGAGGCAGCACCAGCCUUUUACGUAAAAGGAGGAGGAGGAGAAAAAGCACCCUUGAUAUUUUUAAGGACUUGGAAAUAAAUGUUUCUUCCAGAAAUAGAGAGAAUGUGGAGUGUGUGGAGGUGUCUCUGGCGGGGGGAGCGUGGGCUGCCGGAGCUGGUUAUAUAUAGCACUUCCCGAGCCAAGCCUCUUAGCAGCAAUGGAUUUGCAAGGCUCGCUGGUUCCAGCCUUUGCGGAAGCGGCUGCAAUAAAUACCUAAGUAGGUUUCAUGUUUGUAUACCUGAUUUUAGCAGUGAUUCACUGGGGGGAUUUGGGGAAGUCAUUCAGAGAAGCAAGUGAGACAAAAGCUUCUCGGCCCACUAAUUGGCCACUAGUUCCACUAAUUGCCAUAUUGCACAUUACAAAACUAGGUAGGCUGCUGCGUGGGUAGCAUAACCAUGGAAGGAUUUCAUAAUCUGUGAGGGAGACAAGCGGGGCUUCGAUUACACUGGGGCUUGCCCCCUCCUUAGCUUUUAUGACAGCCCCCUUAGCUACUAUUUUUAGAAAUGUAUGGGGGCACAAUUUGUCUGUAAUUGUCUAGCAGGUGUUAGGCAGAGAGCGUUUGUAAAUUUCAUUAAGGCCCCCUACUUUUCCUCACAUUAUUCAAACGACUUCUGAGACCCUGUGUGUGUGCACCCUGAAGCAAGCAAGCGGCAAUUGCCCCCAACACCAUACAGCAUGUAAAAAUAAAAUGUGUAUGCCUCUUACGGAUUAUCAGGUAUGGCAUAAUAUAGGUACACACUGUGCACUUGGAUGAAGCAGCCGAUUAUGGGUAAAAUUCAUGUGCCCGUAUUUUCUUGCCACAAGCGUGCUUUCUUCAUUCCUCUGCCCCGCAGCUGACAAAAGGCUGAACAUGUUUUCAGGCUUGCACAAGUGAGGCAGCCUGGCUUGCUGAAUUCAUAUUGUGUGGGCUGAACCAUUCAGAGGCUUCAAAUGUUUGCGAAUGUUCAUCAUCAGUUGACAGCAAAAUAUCACCUUGCAGUGGGAGGGCGGGGGCUGGGGUGGGAAUCUAAAUGAUACUCAAAGCAUAACUGAGGCUUGGGAUAUCCGCCAGUGCUCAAAAAGGACUCUGUGGAAGUCAACUUUUAAAAUGUGGAUUUGUGACUCUAUCAAUCUCCCAGCAUCCCUUUGGCCUGCAUCAGCAACUGAGCCAUUACAAUCCUCACUGUACUCAGGUAUUGCAAGCACAAGGGAAAGCACUUCCUGAAGCCAUUAGCAAAGUCUAUGGCCAGUGUGGCUCGUGCAAAGAAUCCUGGUGCCAACAGAUCAGAUUUCUCAAAGGGUGGAGUCAGCACCUCACCUUUAGUAGAAGAGGCCCUAUGGCUCUUAUCUGCCAAGACUGCCAGAAGUGCUUAUUAGAGUGGAGUAAAAAUGGUAGGGAACAAUAUACCCCCCAACAUUUCUCUGAUGAAAAUAGGGACAUCCUAUUCAACAAGAACAACAAUUUUCUUUAUACCAUGCCCAUCUGACUGGGCUGUCCCAGCCACUCUGGGCAGCUUCCAAUACAUAUCACAACACAAUAAAACAUUUAACAUGAAAAAUCUUCCCUAUACAGGGCUGCCUUCAGAUGUAUAAUUGCUUAUCUCCUUGGCUCGGGGGUCACGUAACUCCAUACAUUCCAAACUUUAUUUGAUGAAAAUAGGGACAUCCUAAGGAAAAGCGGGACAUUCUGGGAUCAAAUCAGAAAACAGGAUGGCUUCUGUAAAUCUGGGACUGUCCCUGGAAAAUAGGGACACUUGGAGGGUCUGGAACCAGUAACACACUCAAGGCUUAAAUAGGGCCUUGAAACAGACUGCAAUCCUGUACCCACUUUCCUUAGAGUAAGCCCUAUUUAAAAACAUGUGACUUAAUUUUGAAUAUAGGAUUGCAGAGACCAUCUCAUUUACCUAUAUAGUAAAAGCGUGUGCUGGGAAUGGCCCAUGUGAAUGGACGGAAAUGCAGCAACCCAGCCUCAGAUGUUCAACUUUAAAACUGCCUGGUGACUGGCACUUGAAUUGCUGAUGAGAACAGGAAGUAGAUUUCUCCUCCUGCCAACAAUGUGUGUAGCUCUGUGUUAAGGUGUAGCUGAUCGAAGGGCCACAUUCUCCUUUGGCCACUGCUGGCUGUGAUGAAAUGUGAUGAAAUCAAAAUGGCAUUAAAAUUUAAAAAUACAGAUAAUCUGAUGACUGGGAAGUGUUAAGUUCUGUCAAACCCAAAGCUUUGCCUACUUCCCCCCUCUUUUUGCUGCUGCCAAAAUUGGUGAGGUCUUUGAGGCUAGAAAAAUAUGAUGGAGAAACUGGAUUGUUUUCCCUGCAACUUUUUGUUCUUUUUAACACAUCCUUCUUAGAACCAAAUACCUCUCUCGCUUUUAUUCCACUUUCCUUCUCAUUUCUCUUCUCUUCCCCAUUUCUUCAAUCCCUCUCACUUUUUAAGCUUUCCAAUCCCUGCCCCCAUGUUUAUAUACCCGUUUUCUCUUUGUUUUCUCAGCCUUUCUUAGAAGCAGGUCUUCUCCAACUUGCAUCCUUCACUCACCCCCUUGCUCCCUGGCAGCUCCAAAACUGCCUGGCUCCUAAUUUUUCACACACAAAACAUGUAUCACUGUGAAUAAGAGAUAUGCUUUUUAUGCUUUCCUCAUCCAUUGUUCCUUGGUUUAAAAAUGCUUGUGUCUUCCUGUGAAUACUCAGCGGAUAAUAAACUCCCAAAAUCUGCUGUUGGGAAAUGUCUUUAUUGGGACCCACCAAAAUGUCACAAAAAGUGUGACGAGGGUUCUCUAAUGCCCUUUUGGGCCCUUUCCCCUGAUGUGAUCCUUCAUAUGGAGCUAAGCAUCACUUUUCUCAUCUAUCCCUUACUCUUCCUGCAGGGCGGCCUCGUUACCUAUACACUUUAUGUUGCAGACAGAUGGGUUUGUUUACCUAGUAAGCACUAGCACUAGAGGUCAGGAGUUGCAGGAACACAAGCCUACUUGUUAUCCUUAUCUCUCAGGCUUAUCAACUAUUCCUGUGGUAGGUGCAGGGACACCAGGGAGGCUACAGGUAGGUAGCCGUGUUGGUCUGCCGUAGUUGAAAUG